CUUCACCAGCUAUUUAGGCUUUGAGGAUUACUUUACUCGUUUUAUUUGUAUUUUGGUUUGAUCCAUAUAGCAGAUACAUAUUCCAACAUAAAUGGGUUUUUGCAACAUUGGAAACCUUUCUAAAAGCCGCAUGCUUUUUGCUGUCCUUGAAUUAUCCAUUACGUCAUUCAUGGUCUGUCAGAAUUACAUUUAUCACCAAUAAUUUUUUCUUAUCUUCUGCUUUGAUCUUUCUUAUAAGAAUAAUCAAGUGAUUUAUUGUUUUGUGGUCUUGAAUCUUUUUUCUGAUUCUUGUAUUUUGGUUGGUAUUUACAUGGGUAUUGUGUAGUUCAUAAAUGAGCGCCAUAGACAUAAUGAUGUGGAUGCAUGUGUGCCUGUGCAUGUCUAAGUAGGAUAUUGCACUGAAUAUACUUACAUAAUUACAAAUUUAAUCAAAGAAGUACCGUAAUUUAUCAUAUCCAUGAUAUAGUAAAUCAUUAAUCUAUACACCUUUACGUCAUUAACAAUUGAAUAUCUGAUGCAUCCUUUAUUAUAAUUUCCAGAAGUCAGAAGCUCUGGCAUGCAUUUUGAUCUUCACAGAAAUGCCAACUCCUGAUAUUUGAAAAUAUUUGAGAGUUUUUAUAGGUUUAAAAAUUGUUUUCUCUUUUGUAUCAUAUUACUUGGGACGUUUGAUAGGAAGGUACCAAAGGGGAAAAAUUUGUUAAACUGACAUGCUGCGAGAUGAAUAACCCUGAAAAAUCAGGUUUUGCAUUGUUUAGGGGUUUGAGG
rnacentral:lncRNA from 1 species